rnacentral:antisense_RNA from 1 species
GACAGACAUCAGUGAUUCGUGCUGUGAGCCCUGGCCAACAGCCAGAUAGGCGUUCAUUCCCAGUUCUUUCAUCUGCUGUUCGCCAAUCACGCGGGUGGUGAUAUGGUCGUAGGUAUCGGCCAACUGACGCGCCUGAGACGCCAGAUAAGCGGCAUUACAGAUAUUAGGCGGCAUGUUGCCUAGAUCUUUUGC